rnacentral:rRNA from 1 species
CGGGUGAGUAACGCGUGAGGAACCUGCCUCAAAGAGGGGGACAACAGUUGGAAACGACUGCUAAUACCGCAUAAGCCCACGGCUCGGCAUCGAGCAGAGGGAAAAGGAGCAAUCCGCUUUGAAAUGGCCUCGCGUCCGAUUAGCUAGUUGGUGAGGUAAUGGCCCACCAAGGCGACGAUCGGUAGCCGGACUGAGAGGUUGAACGGCCACAUUGGGACUGAGACACGGCCCAG